rnacentral:tRNA from 1 species
CCCUUCGUAGCAUAAACGGAUAAUGCUCUUUUCCAACGAAGAAGAUGAUGUGGGUUCGAUUCCCACCGAAGGGG